AGCGAGUGUUGAUUCAGUGAGUCA
rnacentral:siRNA from 1 species